rnacentral:rRNA from 1 species
UUUGAGUUUGAUCCUGGCUCAGGACGAACGCUGGCGGCGUGCCUAAUACAUGCAAGUCGAGCGGACAGAUGGGAGCUUGCUCCCUGAUGUUAGCGGCGGACGGGUGAGUAACACGUGGGUAACCUGCCUGUAAGACUGGGAUAACUCCGGGAAACCGGGGCUAAUAGGGGAUGGUUGUUUGAACCGCAUGGUUCAGACAUAAAAGGUGGCUUCGGCUACCACUUACAGAUGGACCCGCGGCGCAUUAGCUAGUUGGUGAGGUAACGGCUCACCAAGGCGACGAUGCGUAGCCGACCUGAGAGGGUGAUCGGCCACACUGGGACUGAGACACGGCCCAGACUCCUACGGGAGGCAGCAGUAGGGAAUCUUCCGCAAUGGACGAAAGUCUGACGGAGCAACGCCGCGUGAGUGAUGAAGGUUUUCGGAUCGUAAAGCUCUGUUGUUAGGGAAGAACAAGUGCCGUUCAAAUAGGGCGGCACCUUGACGGUACCUAACCAGAAAGCCACGUUUAAUUACGUGGGAGCAGCCGCGGUAAUACGUAGGUGGCAAGCGUUGUCCGGAAUUAUUGGGCGUAAAGGGCUCGCAGGCGGUUUCUUAAGUCUGAUGUGAAAGCCCCCGGCUCAACCGGGGAGGGUCAUUGGAAACUGGGGAACUUGAGUGCAGACCAGGAGAGUGGAAUUCCACGUGUAGCGGUGAAAUGCGUAGAGAUGUGGAGGAACACCAGUGGCGAAGGCGACUCUCUGGUCUGUAACUGACGCUGAGGAGCGAAAGCGUGGGGAGCGAACAGGAUUAGAUACCCUGGUAUUCCACGCCGUAAACGAUGAGUGCUAAGUGUUAGGGGGUUUCCGCCCCUUAGUGCUGCAGCUAACGCAUUAAGCACUCCGCCUGGGGAGUACGUUCGCAAGACUGAAACUCAAAGGAAUUGACGGGGGCCCGCACAAGCGGUGGAGCAUGUGGUUUGGUUCGAUUCAACGCGAAGAACCUUACCAGGUCUUGACAUCCUCUGACAAUCCUAGAGAUAGGACGUCCCCUUCGGGGGCAGAGUGACAGGUGGUGCAUGGUUGUCGUCAGCUCGUGUCGUGAGAUGUUGGGUUAAGUCCCGCAACGAGCGCAACCCUUGAUCUUAGUUGCCAGCAUUCAGUUGGGCCACUCUAAGGUGACUGCCGGUGACAAACCGGAGGAAGGUGGGGAUGACGUCAAAUCAUCAUGCCCCUUAUGACCUGGGCUACACACGUGCUACAAUGGGCAGAACAAAGGGCAGCGAAACCGCGAGGUUAAGCCAAUCCCACAAAUCUGUUCUCAGUUCGGAUCGCAGUCUGCAACUCGACUGCGUGAAGCUGGAAUCGCUAGUAAUCGCGGAUCAGCAUGCCGCGGUGAAUACGUUCCCGGGCCUUGUACACACCGCCCGUCACACCACGAGAGUUUGUAACACCCGAAGUCGGUGAGGUAACCUUUAUGGAGCCAGCCGCCGAAGGUGGGACGAGAUGAUUGGGGUGAAUGCAGUAAGUUCCUGGCAAGGUAGCCGAUCGAUGC